rnacentral:lncRNA from 1 species
AAUGACACUAGAGUUAGUGUGAGCCAAAGAACCAAAGUGAUGUAAAGAAUGAUGAUAAUGACAAUGUGUAAAGUUAAAGUAAAGUGGGGCAAUAAGAAUAAGAAAUGUAAAGAGUAAGAAUGCUAAAGUUAGCAAAAGUAAGGAAAUGUAAAGAACAAUGAUUGCUAAAGUAGCAACAUGAGGUGACGUAAAGAACACUAGAGUUAGUGUAAAGUCAAGAUUGAACAUAUAAUCCUUUGAGUUAAGGAUUCGAUCAUACUU